rnacentral:rRNA from 1 species
UACGGAGGGUGCAAACGUUGCUCGGAAUCAUUGGGCGUAAAGCGCACGUAGGCGGUCGGCUAUGUCGGAUGUGAAAUCCCGAGGCUCAACCUCGGGUCUGCAGUCGAUACGAGCAAACUAGAGUGUUGCAGGGGAGACUGGAAUUCCUGGUGUAGCGGUGAAAUGCGCAGAUAUCAGGAGGAACACCGGUGGCGAAGGCGGGUCUCUGGGCAACAACUGACGCUGAGGAGCGAAAGCGUGGGGAGCGAACAGG